AGAGUUUGAUCCUGGCUCAGGAUGAACGCUGGCGGCGUGCUUAACACAUGCAAGUCGAACGAAGCACUUUAAAUGAGAUAGCUUGCUAAGGAUUUUAAAGUGACUGAGUGGCGGACGGGUGAGUAACGCGUGGGUAACCUGCCUCACACAGGGGGAUAACAGUUAGAAAUGACUGCUAAUACCGCAUAAGCGCACAGCAUCGCAUGAUGCAGUGUGAAAAACUCCGGUGGUGUGAGAUGGACCCGCGUCUGAUUAGCUAGUUGGUGGGGUAACGGCCUACCAAGGCGACGAUCAGUAGCCGACCUGAGAGGGUGACCGGCCACAUUGGGACUGAGACACGGCCCAAACUCCUACGGGAGGCAGCAGUGGGGAAUAUUGCACAAUGGGCGAAAGCCUGAUGCAGCGACGCCGCGUGAGUGAAGAAGUAUUUCGGUAUGUAAAGCUCUAUCAGCAGGGAAGAAAAUGACGGUACCUGACUAAGAAGCUCCGGCUAAAUACGUGCCAGCAGCCGCGGUAAUACGUAUGGAGCAAGCGUUAUCCGGAUUUACUGGGUGUAAAGGGAGUGUAGGUGCCAUGGCAAGUCAGAAGUGAAAGCCCGGGGCUCAACCCCGGGACUGCUUUUGAAACUGUCAGGCUUGAGUGCAGGAGAGGUAAGCGGAAUUCCUAGUGUAGCGGUGAAAUGCGUAGAUAUUAGGAGGAACACCAGUGGCGAAGGCGGCUUACUGGACUGUAACUGACACUGAGGCUCGAAAGCGUGGGGAGCAAACAGGAUUAGAUACCCUGGUAGUCCACGCCGUAAACGAUGAAUACUAGGUGUCGGGGGUCAAAAGACCUUCGGUGCCGUCGCAAACGCAAUAAGUAUUCCACCUGGGGAGUACGACCGCAAGGUUGAAACUCAAAGGAAUUGACGGGGGCCCGCACAAGCAGUGGAUUAUGUGGUUUAAUUCGACGCAACGCGAAGAACCUUACCAGGACUUGACAUCCAACUAACGAAGUAGAGAUACAUUAGGUGCCCUUCGGGGAAAGUUGAGACAGGUGGUGCAUGGUUGUCGUCAGCUCGUGUCGUGAGAUGUUGGGUUAAGUCCCGCAACGAGCGCAACCCCUAUUGUUAGUUGCUACGCAAGAGCACUCUAGCGAGACUGCCGUUGACAAAACGGAGGAAGGCGGGGACGACGUCAAAUCAUCAUGCCCCUUAUGUCCUGGGCUACACACGUAAUACAAUGGCCGUCAACAAAGGGAAGCGAUAUCGCGAGAUGGAGCAAAUCCCCAAAAACGGUCUCAGUUCGGAUUGCAGGCUGCAACUCGCCUGCAUGAAGCUGGAAUUGCUAGUAAUCGUGGAUCAGCAAGCCACGGUGAAUACGUUCCCGGGCCUUGCACUCACCGCCCGUCA
rnacentral:rRNA from 1 species